GGCGCGUUCGUCUAGUGGCCUAGGACAUCGCCCUCUCAAGGCGGAGAUCACGGGUUCGACCCCCGUACGCGCUACCA
rnacentral:tRNA from 7 species